rnacentral:rRNA from 1 species
AUGGCUCAGGACGAACGCUGGCGGCACGCUUAACACAUGCAAGUCGAACGGAGUUAUCGAGAGCUUGCUUUGAUAACUUAGUGGCGGACGGGUGAGUAACACGUGAGCAAUCUGCCCUUAAGAGGGGGAUAGCAGUUGGAAACGACUGAUAAUACCGCAUAAGAUAGUAGUACCGCAUGGUACAGCUAUAAAAGAUUUAUCGCUUAAGGAUGAGCUCGCGUCUGAUUAGCUAGUUGGUGAGGUAACGGCUCACCAAGGCAACGAUCAGUAGCCGGACUGAGAGGUUGGACGGCCACAUUGGGACUGAGACACGGCCCAGACUCCCACGGGAGGCAGCAGUGGGGAAUAUUGCACAAUGGAGGAAACUCUGAUGCAGCGAUGCCGCGUGAGGGAAGAAGGUUUUAGGAUUGUAAACCUCUGUUGACAGGGACGAUAAUGACGGUACCUGUUGAGGAAGCUCCGGCUAACUACGUGCCAGCCGCUGC